AUGAACGCUGGCGGCGUGCCUAAUACAUGCCAGUCGAGCGAACAGACGAGGAGCUUGCUCUUCUGACGUUAGCGGCGGACGGGUGAGUAACACGUGGAUAACCUACCUAUAAGACUGGGAUAACUUCGGGAAACCGGAGCUAAUACCGGAUAAUAUAUUGAACCGCAUGGUUCAAUAGUGAAAGACGGUUUUGCUGUCACUUAUAGAUGGAUCCGCGCCGCAUUAGCUAGUUGGUAAGGUAACGGCUUACCAAGGCAACGAUGCGUAGCCGACCUGAGAGGGUGAUCGGCCACACUGGAACUGAGACACGGUCCAGACUCCUACGGGAGGCAGCAGUAGGGAAUCUUCCGCAAUGGGCGAAAGCCUGACGGAGCAACGCCGCGUGAGUGAUGAAGGUCUUCGGAUCGUAAAACUCUGUUAUUAGGGAAGAACAAAUGUGUAAGUAACUAUGCACGUCUUGACGGUACCUAAUCAGAAAGCCACGGCUAACUACGUG
rnacentral:rRNA from 1 species